AGAGUUUGAUCAUGGCUCAGGACGAACGCUGGCGGCGUGCCUAAUACAUGCAAGUCGAGCGAGCUUGCCUAGAUGAUUUUGGUGCUUGCACUAAAUGAAACUAGAUACAAGCGAGCGGCGGACGGGUGAGUAACACGUGGGUAACCUGCCCAAGAGACUGGGAUAACACCUGGAAACAGAUGCUAAUACCGGAUAACAACACUAGACGCAUGUCUAGAGUUUGAAAGAUGGUUCUGCUAUCACUCUUGGAUGGACCUGCGGUGCAUUAGCUAGUUGGUAAGGUAACGGCUUACCAAGGCAAUGAUGCAUAGCCGAGUUGAGAGACUGAUCGGCCACAUUGGGACUGAGACACGGCCCAAACUCCUACGGGAGGCAGCAGUAGGGAAUCUUCCACAAUGGACGAAAGUCUGAUGGAGCAACGCCGCGUGAGUGAAGAAGGGUUUCGGCUCGUAAAGCUCUGUUGGUAGUGAAGAAAGAUAGAGGUAGUAACUGGCCUUUAUUUGACGGUAAUUACUUAGAAAGUCACGGCUAACUACGUGCCAGCAGCCGCGGUAAUACGUAGGUGGCAAGCGUUGUCCGGAUUUAUUGGGCGUAAAGCGAGUGCAGGCGGUUCAAUAAGUCUGAUGUGAAAGCCUUCGGCUCAACCGGAGAAUUGCAUCAGAAACUGUUGAACUUGAGUGCAGAAGAGGAGAGUGGAACUCCAUGUGUAGCGGUGGAAUGCGUAGAUAUAUGGAAGAACACCAGUGGCGAAGGCGGCUCUCUGGUCUGCAACUGACGCUGAGGCUCGAAAGCAUGGGUAGCGAACAGGAUUAGAUACCCUGGUAGUCCAUGCCGUAAACGAUGAGUGCUAAGUGUUGGGAGGUUUCCGCCUCUCAGUGCUGCAGCUAACGCAUUAAGCACUCCGCCUGGGGAGUA
rnacentral:rRNA from 1 species